ACUCGGGUCCUCUGAGCUCAAGAAAGAGAAGCCUUUAAGACUUUAAAACCAGGCCAGUUUUGUUUCACUUAGUUCCGGGGAGAUGAGUCUUGCCCUACACCCUCCCUUCCUGGUUGCCCCGACAACAUCCUCCUCCCACAGAGGUCCGGUUCCCCUCACAGUGUGUGGUGGGGAGGGUGUCACAUCAUCAGUGGUUUGGAUGGUGGUUCAGAACUUGCCUCUGUUUUAGGUUCUAUACCUCCCACCCUUGGAACCCUCAACAUCAGAGGAGACUUCCUGGAAGAGGUGUGAGAGAGGCUUGGGGGCCCCAUGGUGGGAGGUGAUAGAUGAGACCAGGGUGUGAGUUAAACGGGGGGAUGUGGCCAAAGGGGACAGUUGGGGGUUGUGUCAUGCUUUCCUGUGGGUUCUGCAACCUUCCAUUCUGGAAGAGGGAGGCCCCAAUUCUAGUGUCUCUGUGGAAGGAGGGGACUGGAGGCCGGGAUGCUUGCAACUGAAGGAAAAGAGGGCUGGAUGCCUGGACUCGAGUCCUGAGGAGGAGGCAGGCAGGCAGGGGCUCAGACUCCUGGAUCCCUGCAUGGAGCUUAUCCCCAGGGCAAGCAAAUGGUGGAGAAUCACAAUUCUGGAAGUUUGUGGAGAGCAAGACACGUCCACAUCCUCCUCUGAUAAAAGUUCACAGACAGCUCUGCCUUGAGAAGGGCCUCCCGUGUGGUGGGCUUCAGUGCCAAAAUCAGGGUACCUGAGGGGCAGGGGCAGGCACACAGGACCGUCCCACCCUCCCAGCACUGGCCUCCUCCUCCCAUACAGGGAUCGGGAUGAGCAGGUGUCAGGUGAAGGUGUGAAGGUGCCACAGCCCAGGUAGAAGGUGCAGGCACAUGUGACCUCUAUGAAUAGGGGAAAGGCCUGGAAGAGGACCUCUGUCACGAAGAUGACCUGAGCCAGCAGUCCCACCACAGCUGGUGAAGGGGAGACCCAGAGGGACUCAAGAGGCCAGCGCCUCUUCCGUUAUUGGAGACUCCAGUUUGCCAGCCCCCAUCUCUCACCCAGACCCUCACCACCGAGAACUGCCUCAGACCCUGGACAGUGAAACCCCUGGACGCCAAGGCUGGACUGAACUUCCCCAGCGGGCAAUCCUCUGUGCAGAUCGUCACACAUUGUUGGUGGACGCGGUGAGUGCUGUCCGUGUGACUCCACUGGGAGAGGACAAUUGGAAGCUCACACCUGGUCUGGACGCUGCCUACGAGCCUCUUCCCUUGGCUGAUUUGCAUCUGUAUCCUUUCUGCUAUGAUCAUCUGUAAUCAUGAGCAUAACAGCUUUCCAGUGAUUCCUUCUGGCGAACCGUCGAAACUGAAGGCGGUCUUGGGGGCCCCUAAGCUGCAGUGAGGGAGGGAGGAUUGAGUCAAAGAGUUAGCGGGGAUCUGGAACACGGGGCAUCUUGUAUGACCUUGAUAGACUAGCUUUUCAUUGGAGCUGGGAGCCACUGGGGGGUUUAGAGCUGAGGGGUGAUGUGAUUUGAAUCAUGCCUUAACGAAAAUCCCUCUGUGUAGAGAAUGGACUGCCGGGGGAGCAGAAGGAGGGAAGGGGCACUGGCAGAGCCGGUUAGAAGGCUGAGGCCAUAAGCCCAGUGAAACAAGAUCAGGGUGGUAACUGGAUGAGCAAGGAAUCAAAUUCUGGGCACAUUUUUAAAAAUCUUUUUAUUGUUAUGUUAAUCACCAUACAUUACAUCAUUAGUUUCUGAUGUAGUGUUCCAUGAUUCAUUGUUUGUGCAUAACACCCAGUGAUCCAUGCAGAAUGUGCCCUCUUUAAUACCCAUCACCGGGCUAACCCAUCCCCCCACCCCCCUCCCCUCUAGAACCCUCAGUUUGUUUUUCAGAGUCCAUUGUCUCUCAUGGUUCGUCUCCCCCUCCGAUUUCCCCCCCUUCAUUCUUCCUGGACACAUUUUUAAGGUAGGAGCCAACGGCACUUACUGAUGAAUCAGAUGUGGGACGCAACAAAGCAGCUGAGGACGAUCCCAACACUCUUGGCUGGAGCAGCUGAAUGACAACGGGGCAAGAUGGGGAGAUAUGGGAGGAGUUGGUGUGGGAUGUGGGAGAGACUAAGACACGGGAGAUUUGAGAUGCCUCUUCUUUUCAAGUGGAUAUCAGAGAUGAGUCUGGAGUUACCACAUAAUUAUUAUUGCUAGAAUAAACUCCUAUAAAUAUGAUUCCUGGAGGAAGCCUCGGUAAAUAUGUCUACUUAAAUAGACCUCAAUAAAUUACGAUUAGAGAAGGC